rfam:Zea mays cultivar B73 chromosome 5, whole genome shotgun sequence.
AGCAAAAUGAAGAGGUGUUGUAAUCUGAAGCUAUCUGAUGUUGAUACAUACAUUCAUGGCCUUCAAAGUUCUCUGAUUGCU